rnacentral:tRNA from 1 species
AGGAUAAUAGUUAAAUUAACAUUUGAUUUGCAUUCAAAAAAAUAUUGAUAAAUUCAAUUUAUCUUA